rnacentral:lncRNA from 1 species
ACAUCUUUCAUGCUAGAAAUAGAUGGAGACAGUAACACAGUCAGAUCCUUGGCCAAACAACGCGGAUUGCAGUUCAUUUCAAAGGUUUUGGUAUCAGGAUGAUGCUGGCAUCAUAAAAUGAGUAUUUUUCUUCAGACUUCAGACUGCUGUGCUGGAAGCAAGAAUUUCAAGCAUUGGAUCUUAGCUUGCUGGGCUCCAUAGGGGUGGGAUCCACUGAGCUAGACCACUUGGCUCCCUGGCUUCAGCCCCCUUCCAGAUGUCCUUGGCGUGUACACCCUGUGGAAUCUGGUUCAUCUUCAAUCUGUCAGAAGGCAUCAGAGGUGGUUUUGACUCCUUAUGUCUUGGACCUGUGCACAAAAAGUGUAAAAUGGAUGGAACAUCAGACAGCUCAUUAUAGAGACAAGUAAGCUCCAGUUCCAAAGUUGGUUGACAGAACAAGUCAUGACCUUGUGUGGAGGAAAAUGAGAUCCCGAGUGAAGUCUACAAUGUCAUUGACUCUGAAGAAGGACUCAGAGACCCAUUGGUGUUUAAUGACCCUUACUGGCCUAUGCAAUGGAAACUGAAAGACAAGAUGACUGUGGAAGUGGAAAUUGAUUCUUAUUUAAAUUUGGUUACAUUUCUUAAUUAAUCUGGUGUUUGAAUAUUGUGAAUAAAAAGAUAAUUGUUAAAUAAAAUAGUUCUUACAAAUCA